CAGUAGCCGCGGUAAUACGUAGGUGGCAAGCGUUGUCCGGAAUUAUUGGGCGUAAAGGGCUCGCAGGCGGUUUCUUAAGUCUGAUGUGAAAGCCCCCGGCUCAACCGGGGAGGGUCAUUGGAAACUGGGAAACUUGAGUGCAGAAGAGGAGAGUGGAAUUCCACGUGUAGCGGUGAAAUGCGUAGAGAUGUGGAGGAACACCAGUGGCGAAGGCGACUCUCUGGUCUGUAACUGACGCUGAGGAGCGAAAGCGAGGGGAGCGAACAGGAUUAGAUACCCGAGUAGUCCCUGUCUCUUAUAC
rnacentral:rRNA from 1 species